rnacentral:rRNA from 1 species
GCAAAACGCGAAGAACCUUACCCACCUUUGACAUGGCAGGAACUUACCAGAGAUGGUUUGGUGCUCGAAAGAGAACCUGCACACAGGUGCUGCACGGCUGUCGUCAGCUCGUGUCGUGAGAUGUUGGGUUAAGUCCCGCAACGAGCGCAACCCUUGCCAUUAGUUGCUACAUUCAGUUGAGCACUCUAAUGGGACUGCCGGUGACAAACCGGAGGAAGGUGGGGAUGACGUCAAGUCCUCAUGGCCCUUAUAGGUGGGGCUACACACGUCAUACAAUGGCUGGUACAAAGGGUUGCCAACCCGCGAGGGGGAGCUAAUCCCAUAAAGCCAGUCGUAGUCCGGAUCGCAGUCUGCAACUCGACUGCGUGAAGUCGGAAUCGCUAGUAAUCGCGAAUCAGAAUGCCGCGGUGAAUACGUUCCCGGGUCUUGUACACACCG